rnacentral:rRNA from 1 species
UGCGGUUACACAAAAGUUAAAUUAAUUUUUAUUAGAAUUUAAUAAAUAAAAUUAAUUAAUUAAUAAUUUAAAUUUUAAAUUAUAAAGUGAAAUUUUAAUUUAAUUAAAAUUUAUUUUUUUUUUAUGACAUUAAUAAAUUUUAUAAAAAACUAGGAUUAGAUACCCUAUUAUAAAAAUUUAAAUUUAAUAAUUCUAAAAUAGUAUAUAAUUUAUAGAAACUUAAAUAAUUUGGCGGUAUUUUAGUUCAUUUAGAGGAAUCUGUCUAAUAAUUGAUAAUCCACGAUUAAAUUUACUUAAUUUAUAAUUUUGUAUAUCGUUGUUAAAAAAAUAUUUUUAAAUAAAUAUAAUAUUUUAAAAUUUAGAUAAAAAAUUAAAUCAGAUCAAGAUGCAGAGUAUAAUUAAGAAUAUGAUGGAUUACAAUAAAUUUUAUUUUGUUUUGGAUAUUAAUUUGAAAUAAAUUAAUUGAAAUUGGAUUUAAAUGUAAUUUUAUUAAUUUUUUUAAAAUGAUUUUAAAUUAAAAUAUGUACAUAUUGCCCGUCGCUUUCAUUUAUAAAUUGAAAUAAGUCGUAACAAAGUAGAGGUACUGGAAAGUGUUUCUAGAAAGAU